rfam:Picea glauca, whole genome shotgun sequence.
UCUUAUGUACAUGCCUACAACAUAGAUUUAAUGCAUCGGAUCCCAUUAGAACUCCACAAUUAAGUGUGCUUGGGCUAGAGUAGUACUGGGAUGGGUGACCACCUAGGAAGUCCUAGUAUUUUACAUGCC